rnacentral:rRNA from 1 species
CAAAACUUUAAACAACGGAUCUCUUGGCUCUGGCAUCGAUGAAGAACGCAGCGAAACGCGAUAAGUAAUGUGAAUUGCAGAAUCCAGUGAAUCAUCGAAUCUUUGAACGCACAUUGCGCCCGCCAGCAUUCUGGCGGGCAUGCCUGUUCGAGC